GGGGAGCUCGGCCCGGGCUGUUCUCCGGGCGGGGAGGCGGCAGCGCCCCCGGACCCCCCUAGUUCACACUACCCAUUCAAGUUUGCGGGCCCCUGCGCCCGAUUCGGAGGGGCACCCGCCGCCCGCCCUGCCUCUGUGCCCCCGUUUCCAGCCACCGCGCGGAAAUUUAGGUCAAGGACGCCGGGAGCACACCCACACCCUGCGCUCCCCUGGGCAGUCCUCGAGAUCCCCGGGAUCGGGGGGCUUGCGGAUGGAGGAGACCCUCCUGCACAAACACCAGCCACAAGUUUUAUUUUCCCUUCGCGCGGCAAGUUCUCUGGCUCCCGCUCCACACCGGCACGUCCUGCACGGCUCCCCGCCCUUCCCCGGCAGAGGCAGAAGUGAGUGGCUACCUUCCUGAUGUAGACUUGAACAAACUGUUGAGUAGUGAGCUGAGGGAAGAUCUGAUGGGGCAGGGCCCCUAGCUCCACAGUGCCCAAGCCAGAGACUGAGAAAGGACUAAAGGAGAAGUCUACAUCACUCCAUUGUUUUUACUUAGAGUUGGAAAUCUGAUGUUCUGGUUAAAGAGUUGUGUUCCUUUUCGCCUCUUACGGCUCUCCUUUCUCACCUCUGGCUCAAAAUGACUGCAGGCAGCCAAGCCACCAACUUAGUCUUGAUGAAAGGAGCCGGGCUCCCAGAAGAAAAUAGCUUUGCCUUUCAACUCCACCUGGAAACGGUUGACACGAGCCACCGCUACCUUCACUGACCUUGGCACUUGCCCCAUCUCUGCCAAGGCUGGCCUCUGCCAAACAAAUCUAAAUAUCACAGUUGGAAGUACAGGGUCUCCCCCGCCUCCAACCCUUUCUCUGACACACUAUAUGUUGUACCUUGAUACCGUUCAACCUUCUCUGUAGUCAUUCUGAGCACCCAUACUCGGACCAUCCACCACAGCAGCAGGCUCACAGACCCACAACUACACGUUAGUUUUUUAAAACUUUUGUUCCCUUUUGCACAAUACAGGAGGUGCAGC